rnacentral:rRNA from 1 species
GACGAACGCUGGCGGCGUGCCUAAUACAUGCAAGUCGAGCGGACCACUUCGGUGGUCAGCGGCGGACGGGUGAGUAACACGUGGGCAACCUGCCUGUAAGACUGGGAUAACACCGGGAAACCGGUGCUAAUACCGGAUAAUCCUUUCCUUCACAUGAAGGGAAGCUGAAAGACGGUUUCGGCUGUCACUUACGGAUGGGCCCGCGGCGCAUUAGCUAGUUGGUGAGGUAACGGCUCACCAAGGCAACGAUGCGUAGCCGACCUGAGAGGGUGAUCGGCCGCACUGGGACUGAGACACGGCCCAGACUCCGACGGGAGGCAGCAGGAGGGAAUCUUCCGCAAUGGACGAAAGUCUGACGGAGCAACGCCGCGUGAGCGAUGAAGGCCUUCGGGUCGUAAAGCUCUGUUGUCAGGGAAGAACAAGUACCGGAGUAACUGCCGGUACCUUGACGGUACCUGACCAGAAAGCCACGGCUAACUACGUGCCAGCAGCCGCGGUAACAC